GUGUUGACACUGGUGGACUGGUUUUCGUACGUCCCUGCCUUAGCACUCUAUGCCCUUCUUGAAUGCGUCGUCGUGGGCUGGUGUUAUGGCACAAAGAGGCUGGAGGAAGAUGUCAGUAUGAUAUGGGGGGAGAAGAUACCUGGGUUCAUGCAUGUAUGCAUUCGCAUCGUGUGCCCUGUGCUAAUUCUGGUGAUAAUUGCCUAUUCCGGGUAUUCAUACCGAUCGCCCAAGUAUGGGGACUACAUCUUCCCAGCCUGGGCCAAUGUAGUCGGUUGGAUGAUAUCACUUGUAGCAGUCCUGCCUU